UACGAAGGGGGCUAGCGUUGCUCGGAAUCACUGGGCGUAAAGCGCACGUAGGCGGAUUGUUAAGUCAGGGGUGAAAUCCUGGAGCUCAACUCCAGAACUGCCUUUGAUACUGGCGAUCUCGAGUCCGGGAGAGGUGAGAGGAACUGCGAGUGUAGAGGUGAAAUUCGUAGAUAUUCGCAAGAACACCAGUGGCGAAGGCGGCUCACUGGCCCGGUACUGACGCUGAGGUGCGAAAGCGUGGGGAGCAAACAGG
rnacentral:rRNA from 1 species